UAGUCCACGCCGUAAACGAUGAGAACUAGAUGUCGGGAGGAUUUACCUCUCGGUGUCGCAGCUAACGCGUUAAGUUCUCCGCCUGGGGAGUACGGUGGCAACACUAAAACUCAAAGGAAUUGACGGGGGCCCGCACAAGCGGUGGAGUAUGUGGUUUAAUUCGAAGCAACGCGCAGAACCUUACCUACCCUUAACAUUUCACGACGUAUACAGAGAUGUAUAUUUCUCUUCGGAGACGUGAGGAUAGGUGCUGCAUGGCUGUCGUCAGCUCGUGUCGUAAGAUGUCUGGUUAAGUCCAAUAACGAGCGCAACCCUUAUCCUUAGUUACCAGCAUUAAGUUGGGGACUCUAGGGAGACUGCCGGUGUUAAACCGGAGGAAGGCGGGGAUGACGUCAAGUCCUCAUGGCCCUUACGGGUAGGGCCACACACGUACUACAAUGGCAGAUACAAACCGUUUGCAAAGCCGCGAGGUUGAGCUAAUCGGUAAAACACUAGUCCCAGUCCGGAUUGGAGUCUGCAACUCGACUCCA
rnacentral:rRNA from 1 species